CAAGUCGAGCGGUUGACGGGAGCUUGCUCCCUGAUUCAGCGGCGGACGGGUGAGUAAUGCCUAGGAAUCUGCCUAUUAGUGGGGGACAACGUUUCGAAAGGAACGCUAAUACCGCAUACGUCCUACGGGAGAAAGCAGGGGACCUUCGGGCCUUGCGCUAAUAGAUGAGCCUAGGUCGGAUUAGCUAGUUGGUGAGGUAAUGGCUCACCAAGGCGACGAUCCGUAACUGGUCUGAGAGGAUGAUCAGUCACACUGGAACUGAGACACGGUCCAGACUCCUACGGGAGGCAGCAGUGGGGAAUAUUGGACAAUGGGCGAAAGCCUGAUCCAGCCAUGCCGCGUGUGUGAAGAAGGUCUUCGGAUUGUAAAGCACUUUAAGUUGGGAGGAAGGGUUGUAGAUUAAUACUCUGCAAUUUUGACGUUACCGACAGAAUAAGCACCGGCUAACUCUGUGCCAGCAGCCGCGGUAAUACAGAGGGUGCAAGCGUUAAUCGGAAUUACUGGGCGUAAAGCGCGCGUAGGUGGUUUGUUAAGUUGGAUGUGAAAGCCCCGGGCUCAACCUGGGAACUGCAUCCAAAACUGGCAAGCUAGAGUACGGUAGAGGGUGGUGGAAUUUCCUGUGUAGCGGUGAAAUGCGUAGAUAUAGGAAGGAACACCAGUGGCGAAGGCGACCACCUGGACUGAUACUGACACUGAGGUGCGAAAGCGUGGGGAGCAAACAGGAUUACAUACCCUGGUAGUCCACGCCGUAAACGAUGUCAACUAGCCGUUGGAAUCCUUGAGAUUUUAGUGGCGCAGCUAACGCAUUAAGUUGACCGCCUGGGGAGUACGGCCGCAAGGUUAAAACUCAAA
rnacentral:rRNA from 1 species